rnacentral:rRNA from 1 species
UCCUACGGGAGGCAGCAGUCGGGAAUAUUGGACAAUGGGCGAAAGCCUGAUCCAGCAAUACCGCGUGUGUGAAGAAGGCCUGCGGGUUGUAAAGCACUUUCAGUAGGGAAGAUAAUGACGUUACCUACAGAAGAAGCACCGGCUAACUCCGUGCCAGCAGCCGCGGUAAUACGGAGGGUGCAAGCGUUAAUCGGAAUUACUGGGCGUAAAGCGCACGUAGGCGGUUUAUUAAGUCGGAUGUGAAAGCCCUGGGCUCAACCUGGGAACUGCACUCGAUACUGGUAAACUAGAAUUUGGGAGAGGUGAGUGGAAUUUCCGGUGUAGCGGUGAAAUGCAUAGAGAUCGGAAGGAACACCAGUGGCGAAGGCGACUCACUGGACCAAAAUUGACGCUGAGGUGCGAAAGCGUGGGUAGCAAACAGGAUUAGAUACCCUGGUAGUCCACGCCGUAAACGAUGUCAACUAGCCGUUGGUUCCAUUCAAGGGAUCAGUGGUGCAGCUAACGCAUUAAGUUGACCGCC